rnacentral:tRNA from 1 species
GUCCCUGUAGUGCAAUGGAUAGCGCGUUGGACUCCUAAUCCAAAGGUUGUGGGUUCAAAUCCUACCUGGGAUG